AGUUAAAAAGCUCGUAGUUGAAUUUCUGGUCAUUCUUAGUCUUGGCUUCGGUCGGGCUAAGGUUGGCCAUCCGUCUGCAAGCUGCUCUCGGCCUUCACUGGUUCGGAGUAGUGAGCUGACAUUUUACUUUGAAAAAAUUAGAGUGUUUCAGGCAGGCUUUUGCCCGAAUACAUUAGCAUGGAAUAAUGGAAUUGGACUUUGAUCCAUUUGGUUGGUUAUUGGGUCUGAGUAAUGGUUAAUAGGGACAGUUGGGGGCAUUAGUAUUUAAUUGUCAGAGGUGAAAUUCUUGGAUUUAUUAAAGACUAACUUAUGCGAAAGCAUUUGCCAAGGAUGUUUUCAUUAAUCAAGAACGAAAGUUAGGGGAUAAAAGAUGAUCAGAUACCAUUGUAUUCUUAACUAUAAACUAUACCGACUCGGAAUUGGUAGGGUAUUUUAGCUCUAUCAGCACCGUAGGAGAAAUCAAAGUCUUUGGGUUCUGGGGGGAGUAUAGUCGCAAGGCUGAAACUUAAAGGAAUUGACAGAAGGGCUCCACCAGGAGUGGAACCUGCGGCUUAAUUUGACUCAACACGGGGAAACUUACCAGAUCAAAACAUGGGUGGGAUUGA
rnacentral:rRNA from 1 species